rnacentral:lncRNA from 1 species
CCGGCUUUCCACUUUUUCAUCAAAUAAUUCACAGUUUCAAAACCUCUUUUCUCAUGACAAGCUAUUAUACAAUUUCAAAUUUCAGUGGAAUCCUACAAAGAUGUAUCUAUGUUUUCAAUCCAAAUUAGUUCACAUAAUCAAUCUUUUUCCAACAGAUGUUUUGUUCAUGAAUGAUCAAUCAACUAAACAUAGAUNUAGACAUGGAUUUAACAAUUCUCACCAAGCAAGUGUUUCACUCAAUCACUCAAGUGUUUAGGAGGUCACUCUACUCUCUACUGUUCACAAGUCACAUAAAACAAUAUUGUCAUUCAUCUAAAACAAUCAAUAUCUUUCACACGCAUAUGUCAUCACAAGGACUUUUUCCAAGGCUUGUAUUGUGGCUGGGCUAACAAGAAAAAUUGGUUUUUCUGGAAUACAAAAUCCUUGAGUUAAGAGAGUUUAAAUCAUUAUUCAAAGUUCAAGCACACUCUCCUUUUAAGCAAUCUCACUCAUUCCCAACUUUUCCCUUUUACAUUGAGUUCUUUUUAACAUGCAUAAACUCUUUUCUUCUUUUCUUUUCUUUUUCACAUGCAUUUUUCUUUUUCAUCUUUUGAACUGAAUGCUUUUGUUUUUUCUUUUCUUUUGCCUUUCACUUUCCCCAUUCAACC